CUCAGUUUUCUCAUUUGUCAAAUGAGCUGGAGAAGGGAAAGGCAAACCACAGUAUCUGUGCCAAGAAAAUCCUAAAUGGAAUCAUGAAGAGUUGAACACAACUGAAAUGAUUGAACAACAAUAAAAUGUGCUAGGUAUUGUGCUAAACACUGGGAUAUGAAGAAAGACAAAGGAUAAUGUCUGCUCUCAAGGAGUUUGUAGCCUAAUAUAGGAGAUGUUAUACAAACAAUUAUGCACAAACAAGCUACAUACAGGAAAAAUUGGAGAUAACCAAUAGAGGGAAGACAUUGGCAUGGAGGAGGAAUUCCUACAGAAAGUAGGACUUGAAGGAAGCCAGGAGUCAGAGAUAAGGAGAGAGAAUAUUCCUGGUGUGAUAGACAAGCAAUGAUAAUUCUUGUUUUGUGAACAGCAAAAGAAACCAAUUUCACCAGACUGAAAAGUACGGGAUAGAGUGUGGUUUCAAAGUGUAAGAAAACAGGAAGGAGAAACUAUGAAGAGCUUUGAAAGCCAAACAGGAUUUUAUAUAAUUGAUCCUGAAGGUGAUAGGGAAUCUUUGGAGUUGGGAGUUGGGAUUAACAUUUUUAGACCUUAAUUUUAGGAAGAUCACUUUGGCAACUUGAAGGAAGGAUGGACCAAGUGGGAAGAAACUUGUGGUAUAGGGAACAAUCAGAAAGAUGAAGUGAUGAUGUUAUUGAGGUAAAAUCUACAAAAGUUUGUUGCACAUUGAUAUGAGAGAAUUAGGGUGAGGACUGGAGGGAGACUGGGAGAAUGGGGGUGCCCUCUACAGUAACAGGGAAGUUUGGAAGAAAGGAGGACAAGUUCCUCUCUUGUAAAGAUAUCGAGUACAGUUUUGAAUUUUUUUUUGUUUAAGGAGUCUAUGGGACAUCCAAGAAGUUUAAGCUGAGUUCAGAAGGAAAUUGUAUCUAUCAAGAGUUGAAGUUGAGGAGAGGUCAAAUUUCAGGCAUAGGAGAGCAUCUCUAAUAUAGAGGAGUGGAUCAUCACAUGAGGAACACCAGCCUGGCUGGUUUGGCUGGACUGGACUGUGUGGAGGGAAUGAUCUGUAUUAAGAUUUAAAAGAUGGGACAGGUAGCCAAGAGUUCUAAGUAUCCACAGAUGAGGUUAUAUUGGAUCCUGAAGGUGAGAGGAAGCCACUGGAAUUUAUUAUAUUGGGUGGAGGCAGGAUGGGAUGCUGAAGUGGUCAGAGGUAGACUUCAGAAAAGCACUUUAUUGUCUUUAUGGAUGAUGGAUCGGAUUAGGGAGCAACAAGGGUCAGAAAGGCCAUCUAGGAAACUGUAGUAAUAAUCCAGGCGAGAGGUGAUGAUGUCCUGACCUAGAUAGGUAGGUGUGUAAGCAGACACAAGGGAUAUAAAGAAGAAAUGUUGGGGAAGUAGAAAUAGUAAAAUUUUGUCUUGUUGCUUAGUCAUUAGGGCUGGGAUGCUUUGAGUGCGGCUCAAACACAGAGAGGGAAGGAUAUGAUCCAGGGCAUCUCCACAGCUCCCUUUGAGCCACAGAUUUUGAUGGUUAUGGAUAGUUAGAAAUACUCCUUCCAGAGUUUAAAUGCAGCCUCAGACACUUACUAACUGGAUGACCCUUAGGACCAUUUAUCUCAGUCUCCUCAUCUGUAAAAUGGGCUGGAGAAGGAAAUGGCAAACUUCUCUAAUAUCUUUGUUAAGAAAACCCUAAAUGGAGUCACAACAUAUGUGACAUGAGUGAACAACAGCAGCAACAAAUAGCUCUACUUCCUUUCUCUUACUUUGAGUCGCUACAACCUCUUAAGGAGCAUUUUUACAUGAAAUCAAGAGAUCUGGGAUUGGGUCCCUGUUUUCUACUUACUGUUGGUGAAGCCAACAUCAUGAUGGGCAAACCUCAAUGGGUGUCCUCCAAAGAGUCUGAAACUGCUGAAGCUUCCCCACUCCUCAUCCAGCCUGGCCCACGACCUUCUGCAAGAGAAGAUGAAACCGAAUGAGCUGGAUCAGUGUUGUCACUAGCUACCAUAAAGUCCCAAGGCUGUGCUCUACUUGAGGAUGAACAUGGGAGGAGUUGUCAGCUUGGUCCAGACUGGGGUGCCCUUAGAGAGGUCUGUGUGGUCUGGCAUUAUGUAGGCACUGAGGACACCAUGUGAGCCUCCCCCCCCACCAAGAGCACCUAAAAUGUGGCGUCCUGGGGUUGGAAUGCCUCCAAUUGGAGGUGAGAGAGAUCUGCUACCAAGGAUAGAAGAAAAGAAACUAGACUUUCAUCUGGAAGAAAGAAGGAAAGACAUUGUGGGAAACCAAGGCUCAUUUUACAGAUGAGAAAACUGAGGUCAGCAGUGUUAAGUCACAUAGUAAGUAUCUAGGGCCAGAUCUGAACUCAGGACUUCCUAACUUCAGCCCUGGUAUUCUAUUUUUUCCAUGUAGCUGCUCCUAGCAGGCAUUUAAUAAAUGCUUACUGACUGUAUAAAUACUGUGCUCAAGCUAAACUGAAAUCUUCUCAGGUCUUUCUAAUAAGAACAUACUUUUUUACUAAUUUAUAUCACCUUUGUACUAAUUGGUUCUUCUGCCUAAAAUGUCUUUCUUGGUAUCUGCCUCAGGUCUCCAUCUUUCUUUUUCAUUUUUUUUUUAACAUUUAAAUUUUAUUUCAUUUUAUCUCAAUUGCACACAAACAAAAAAAUUUAACAUUAAUUUUGGCUUACCUCCUUCCUUGCCCUGCUCCUUGAGAAAGCAAGCAUUUUGAUAAAGAUUACACAUAUGCAACCAUUUUAGCUCUAUUGCAAAAGAAAACACAGAUUUAAAAAAAAAGAAUAAUAAAGUUUUAAAAAA